rnacentral:rRNA from 1 species
AUUGAACGCUGGCGGCAUGCCUUACACAUGCAAGUCGAACGGCAGCACGGGCUUCGGUCUGGUGGCGAGUGGCGAACGGGUGAGUAAUGUAUCGGAACGUACCCUUCAGUGGGGGAUAACUAUCCGAAAGGGUAGCUAAUACCGCAUAUUCUCUGAGGAGGAAAGCGGGGGAUCGCAAGACCUCGCGCUGAUGGAGCGGCCGAUAUCAGAUUAGCUAGUUGGUGGGGUAAAGGCCUACCAAGGCGACGAUCUGUAGCGGGUCUGAGAGGAUGAUCCGCCACACUGGGACUGAGACACGGCCCAGACUCCUACGGGAGGCAGCAGUGGGGAAUUUUGGACAAUGGGGGCAACCCUGAUCCAGCCAUGCCGCGUGAGUGAAGAAGGCCUUCGGGUUGUAAAGCUCUUUCGGCCGGGAAGAAAUCGCGUGAGUUAAUACCUUGCGUGGAUGACGGUACCGGAAUAAGAAGCACCGGCUAACUACGUG